rnacentral:rRNA from 1 species
UGGGCGUAAAGCGUGCGCAGGCGGUUGUGUAAGACAGGUGUGAAAUCCCCGGGCUUAACCUGGGAACUGCGCUUGUGACUGCACGGCUAGAGUAUGGCAGAGGGGGGUGGAAUUCCACGUGUAGCAGUGAAAUGCGUAGAGAUGUGGAGGAACACCGAUGGCGAAGGCAGCCCCCUGGGCCAAUACUGACGCUCAUGCACGAAAGCGUGGGGAGCAAACAGGAUUAGAUACCCUGGUAGUCCACGCCCUAAACGAUGUCGACUAGGUGUUCGGUGAGGAGACUCAUUGAGUACCGCAGCUAACGCGUGAAGUCGACCGCCUGGGGAGUACGGUCGCAAGAUUAAAACUCAAAGGAAUUGACGGGGACCCGCACAAGCGGUGGAUGAUGUGGAUUAAUUCGAUGCAGCGCGAAAAGACCUUACCUACCCUUGACAUGUACGGAACCCUGCUGAGGGGUGGGGGUGCUCGAAAGAGAGCCGUAACACAGGUGCUGCAUGGCUGUCGUCAGAUCGUGUCGUGAGAUGUUGGGUUAAGUCCCGCAACGAGCGCAACCCUUGUCAUUAGUCGCUACGCAAGAGCACUCUAAUGAGACUGCCGGUGACAAACCGGAGGAAGGUGGGGAUGACGUCAAGUCCUCAUGGCCCUUAUGGGUAGGGCUUCGCACGUCAUACAAUGGUCGGUACAGAGGGUUGCCAAGCCGCGAGGUGGAGCCAAUCCCAGAAAGCCGAUCGUAGUCCGGAU